rnacentral:tRNA from 1 species
GGGCGCAUAGCUCAAUUGGCAGAGCGCUUCCCUUACAAGGAAGAAGUUGUAGGUUCGAGUCCUACUGUGCCCA